GACGAACGCUGGCGGCGUGCUUAACACAUGCAAGUCGAACGGAAAGGCCCUGCUUUUGUGGGGUGCUCGAGUGGCGAACGGGUGAGUAACACGUGAGUAACCUGCCCUUGACUUCGGGAUAACUUCAGGAAACUGGGGCUAAUACCGGAUAGGAGCUCCUGCUGCAUGGUGGGGGUUGGAAAGUUUCGGCGGUUGGGGAUGGACUCGCGGCUUAUCAGCUUGUUGGUGGGGUAGUGGCUUACCAAGGCUUUGACGGGUAGCCGGCCUGAGAGGGUGACCGGCCACAUUGGGACUGAGAUACGGCCCAGACUCCUACGGGAGGCAGCAGUGGGGAAUAUUGCACAAUGGGCGGAAGCCUGAUGCAGCAACGCCGCGUGCGGGAUGACGGCCUUCGGGUUGUAAACCGCUUUCGCCUGUGUCGAAGCGUGAGUGACGGUAAUGGGUAAAGAAGCACCGGCUAACUACGUG
rnacentral:rRNA from 1 species